rnacentral:lncRNA from 10 species
UGCAUGGACAGUGUCAGUGAUGUAGUAGACAAAACUCUCCUGAAGCAAUGAAGAAACCAGUGCACAAAUGAAUGAAUUAAACAACUUUUUAUGAGUCUAAUGAAGAAACUCUGCUGGGUUUUCCUCCUUUGCUAUGAAGCCUUCCUCCCUCCUCCCUGGACUGUAAGGAGGUAGUGCUCCCAAGUCAUGAGGCUGAGGAAAGAAUCAGAUCUUCACCUGUGGCUUCCUCAAUGCAGUGCUUCUUCUCCCAGUCCAGCCCUGUCUCUCUUCCUCUUUCCUACAUUUGACUACUGCUUCUGCUAUCUCCUCCUCAGCCCAGCGGCACCCAGAAC